rnacentral:rRNA from 1 species
AACGCGAAGAACCUUACCUGGUCUUGACAUCCCUCUGACGGGCUCGUAAUGGAGUCGUUCCUUCGGGACAGAGGAGACAGGUGGUGCAUGGUUGUCGUCAGCUCGUGUCGUGAGAUGUUGGGUUAAGUCCCGCAACGAGCGCAACCCUUAUCUUUAGUAGCCAGCAGGUAAAGCUGGGCACUCUAGAGAGACUGCCAGGGAUAACCUGGAGGAAGGUGGGGAUGACGUCAAAUCAUCAUGCCCCUUAUGACCAGGGCUACACACGUGCUACAAUGGCGUAAACAAAGGGAAGCGACCCUGUGAAGGUGAGCAAAUCUCAAAAAUAACGUCUCAGUUCGGAUUGUAGUCUGCAACUCGACUACAUGAAGCUGGAAUCGCUAGUAAUCGCGAAUCAGAAUGUCGCGGUGAAUACGUUCCCGGGUCUUGUACACACCG